UGGGGAAUAUUGGACAAUGGGGGGAACCCUGAUCCAGCCAUGCCGCGUGUGUGAAGAAGGCCUUAUGGUUGUAAAGCACUUUAAGCGAGGAGGAGGGUACUGGUAUUAAUACUACCAGGUACUGGACGUUACUCGCAGAAUAAGCACCGGCUAACUCUGUGCCAGCAGCCGCGGUAAUACAGAGGGUGCGAGCGUUAAUCGGAUUUACUGGGCGUAAAGCGUGCGUAGGCGGCUAAUUGAGUCGGAUGUGAAAUCCCCGAGCUUAACUUGGGAAUUGCAUUCGAUACUGGUUAGCUAGAGUGUGGGAGAGGAUGGUAGAAUUCCAGGUGUAGCGGUGAAAUGCGUAGAGAUCUGGAGGAAUACCGAUGGCGAGGGCAGCCAUCUGGCCUAACACUGACGCUGAGGUACGAAAGCAUGGGGAGCAAACAGG
rnacentral:rRNA from 1 species